UGCCAGCAGCCGCGGUAAAACGUAGGGGGCGAGCGUUAUCCGGAAUUACUGGGCGUAAAGGGCGUCUAGGCGGCAAGGUAAGUCUCGCGUGAAAGCUCCUGGCUCAACUAGGAGAGGGCGCGGGAAACUACCUGGCUAGAGACUCAGAGGGGGGUGCGGAAUUCCCGGUGGAGUGGUGAAAUGCGUUGAGAUCGGGAGGAACACCAGUAGCGAAGGCGGCUCCCUGGCUGAGUUCUGACGCUAAAGCGCGACAGCGUGGGGAGCGAACGGGAUUAGAUA
rnacentral:rRNA from 1 species